GUCACCCCCCCUGGAAUUGAGACCGGUCCAGCUUCUACGGAGGCAGCAGGGGGAAUCUGCCAAUGGCGAAGCUGACGCAGCACGCCGCGGAGGAUGAGCUUCGGGUGUAACUCUUCAGCAGACGAAUGACGUACUGCAGAGAGCACGACUACUACGUGCAGCAGCCGCGUAAUACGUAGGGUGCAGCGUGUCCGGAUUUAUUGGCGUAAAGAGCUCGUAGGCGGUUUGAAAGUCAGGUGUGAAACCUCCAGGCUCACCUGGAGACGCACUUGAUACUUCAAUGACUUGAGUACGGUAGGGGACACGGAAUUCCUGGUGUAGCGGUGAAAUGCACAGAUAUCAGGAGGAACACCGAUGGCGAAGGCAGUGGUCUGGGCCGAUACUGACGCUGAGGAGCGAAAGCGUGGGGAGCGAACAGGAUUAGAUACCCUGGUAGUCCACGCCCUAAACUAUGGAUACUCGACGUGCGCGAUACACAGUGCGCGUCUGAGCGAAAGCAUUAAGUAUCCCACCUGGGAAGUACGUCCGCAAGGAUGAAACUCAAAGGAAUUGGCGGGGGUCCGCACAAGCGGUGGAGCAUGUAGUUUAAUUCGAUGAUACGCGAGGAACCUUACCUGGGCUAGAAUGCGGUUUGACCGUAUGUGAAAGCAUAUUUUGUAGCAAUACACAGAUCGUAAGGUGCUGCAUGGCUGUCGUCAGCUCGUGCCGUGAGGUGUUGGGUUAAGUCCCGCAACGAGCGCAACCCCUAUCAUUAGUUGCCAUCAGGUUAAGCUGGGAACUCUAAUGAAACUGCCGUCGUAAGACGCGAGGAAGGAGGGGAUGAUGUCAAGUCAUCAUGGCCUUUAUGCCCAGGGCUACACACGUGCUACAAUGGGGGGUACAAAGGGCUGCCACUUGGUGACAAGGAGCUAAUCCCAAAAAACCUCUCUCAGUUCAGAUUGCAGGCUGCAACUCGCCUGCAUGAAGCUGGAAUCGCUAGUAAUCGUAUAUCAGCAAUGAUACGGUGAAUACGUUCCCGGACCUUGCACACACCGCCCGUCAAGCCAUGGGAGCCGGGUGUACCUAAAGUCGGUAACCGAAAGGAUCUGCCUAGGUAAACCUGAGGUAU
rnacentral:rRNA from 1 species